rnacentral:rRNA from 1 species
GCUUACGGCCAUACCACCCUGAGAACGCCCGAUCUCGUCUGAUCUCGUAAGCUAAGCAGGGUCGGGCCUGGUUAGUACUUGGAUGGGAGACCGCCUGGGAAUACCAGGUGCUGUAAGCU